CCUACGGGUGGCACCAGUGGGGAAUAUUGCACAAUGGGCGCAAGCCUGAUGCAGCCAAGCCGCGUGUGUGAAGAAGGCCUUCGGGUUGUAAAGCACCUUCAGCGGGGAGGAAGGCGAUAAGGUUAUUAGCCUUGUCGAUUGACGUUAACCGCAGAAGAAGCACCGGCUAACUCCGUGCCAGCAGCCGCGGAAAUACGGAGGGUGCAAGCGUUAAUCGGAAUUACUGGGCGUAAAGCGCACGCAGGCGGUCUGUCAAGUCGGAUGUGAAAUCCCCGGGCUCAACCUGGGAACUGCAUUCGAAACUGGCAGGCUAGAGUCUUGUAGAGGGGGGUAGAAUUCCAGGUGUAGCGGUGAAAUGCGUAGAGAUCUGGAGGAAUACCGGUGGCGAAGGCGGCCCCCUGGACAAAGACUGACGCUCAGGUGCGAAAGCGUGGGGAGCAAACAGGAUUAGAUACCCCUGUAGUC
rnacentral:rRNA from 1 species